rnacentral:rRNA from 1 species
AGUGAACGCUGGCGGUAGGCCUAACACAUGCAAGUCGAACGGCAGCACAGUAAGAGCUUGCUCUUACGGGUGGCGAGUGGCGGAUGGGUGAGGAAUACAUCGGAAUCUACUUUUUCGUGGGGGUUAACGUAGGGAAACUUACGCUAAUACCGCAUACGACCUACGGGUGACAGCAGGGGAUCUUCGGACCUUGCGCGAUUGAAUGAGCCGAUGUCGGAUUAGCUAGUUGGCGGGGUAAAGGCCCACCAAGGCGACGAUCCGUAGCUGGUCUGCGAGGAUGAUCAGCCACACUGGAACUGAGACACGGUCCAGACUCCUACGGGAGGCAGCAGUGGGGAAUAUUGGACAAUGGGGGCAAGCCGGAUCCAGCCAUACCGCGUGGGUGAAGAAGGCGUUCGGGUUGGAAAGCCCUUUUGUUGGGAAAGAAGAGCAGCAGGUUAAUACCCCGCUGUUCUGACGGUACCCAAAGAAUAAGCACCGGCUAACUUCGUG